rnacentral:rRNA from 1 species
UCCUACGGGAGGCAGCAGUGGAGAUAUUGCACAAUGGGGGAAACCCUGAUGCAGCAACGCCGCGUGAAGGAAGACGGUUUUCGGGUUGUAAACUUCUGUUCUUAGUGAAGAAGAAUGACGGUAGCUAAGGAGCAAGCCACGGCUAACUACGUGCCAGCAGCCGCGGUAAUACGUAGGUGGCAAGCGUUGUCCGGAAUUACUGGGUGUAAAGGGAGCGCAGGCGGGAAGCCAAGUCAGCUGUGAAAACUACGGGCUUAACUUGUAGACUGCAGUUGAAACUGGUUUUCUUGAGUGAAGUAGAGGUU